GCCCUUUGAUGAAAUCAUGGCCGUUUUAAGACCCUGUCAGACGUAGAGAAGUGCACUCCUGUCACCUGAUUGGUGGCUAAUCUUGGUAGUGUUUUAGUUGUAUUUCACUGCUGUAAGGGUCCACCUACAGAAACAAUAUUGCCUUCUACUUCAGCCUUUGCUUUAAGAUAUGGGCAUGGGCAAGCAGAAGGAGUCGCACAGUGUGUGUGGGUGUGUUUUGCUGCGUGCAUGUCUGUGUUGUCAGUUGGUAGGAGCAUGUUUUCUCUACAAAGAGGGUUUGUCAGGUAUGAUUAACAAUCUUUGGUAAUCUGAGGGCA